rnacentral:misc_RNA from 1 species
UUCCAGAAUAUCAAUCGCCGAGCUAACGAAAGCAAAGCAAGCUACACUUGCAGAGAAAAAAAGUUGCACCAACACCAUUACCGGGGACAAAGGAAGCAGUUCACUUUAUUAAACUAUCAUGACUUACGGAGGAUCUUCAGGUGGAUACCGUAGUAGCGGAGGCCGUGGGGGAAGCAGUCAGAGGUCUGGUUAUGGCAGCAGUAGCGGCGGUGGAAGUGGAGGUAGUAGUGGGCGUUUCAGCAGCCGUGGAGGUGGUGGCGGAAGUCGUGGAGGUCGCGGCGGCGGUGGAGGGGGCAGUUUAAGAAAGCCAAACUGGGACUACGAAAACUUGAAGCCAUUCAAGAAAGACUUUUAUGUGCCGCAUGUAAAUGUGCAGAACCGUCACCCACGCGAAGUUGAAGCUUAUAGAGCAGAUAAGCAAAUCACACUAAAAGGCGAUGCUCUGCCGAACCCCAUCCAAUUCUUUGAGGAGGGUAAUUUCCCAGAUUAUGUCAUGACUGGAAUCAGGAAACAGGGAUUUUCCGAGCCAACUGCCAUCCAAGCUCAGGGCUGGCCUAUUGCUAUGUCUGGACGCAAUAUGGUAGGCAUUGCUCAAACGGGAUCAGGAAAAACUCUUGGGUACAUUUUGCCUGCUAUUGUUCAUAUCAACAAUCAGCAGCCCCUAAAUCGAGGCGAUGGACCAAUUGCGCUGAUCCUCGCACCAACCAGAGAACUUGCCCAGCAAAUUCAAACUGUCGCAAGCGACUUUGGGUCUCUUUCUUAUGUUCGAAACACCUGCAUCUUUGGUGGGGCGCCCAAGGGAGGCCAGGCGAGAGAUCUGGAGCGUGGAGUUGAGAUCUGUAUUGCUACUCCAGGUCGAUUGAUCGAUUUUCUUGAGAGAGGAACUACGAACCUGCGCAGAUGCACUUACUUGGUAUUAGACGAAGCUGACAGAAUGCUUGACAUGGGUUUUGAACCUCAGAUCAGAAAAAUCAUUGAACAGAUCAGACCAGACAGGCAGGUCCUAAUGUGGUCAGCCACAUGGCCAAAAGAAGUGCGCAACCUUGCUGAAGAAUAUCUCACCGACUACACACAGCUGAACAUCGGAUCCCUCACUCUAUCUGCUAACCACAAUAUUCUACAAAUAAUCGACGUAUGUCAGGAGCAUGAAAAGGAAACCAAAUUGGGUAGCUUGUUACAAGAGAUCGGCAAUGUCAACGACGACGGUGGAAAAACCAUCAUUUUCGUAGAGACUAAAAAGAAAGUAGAAAAUAUCACCAGAAGCAUUCGCCGCUAUGGAUGGCCAGCAGUUUGCAUGCAUGGUGACAAAUCUCAACAAGAACGUGAUUAUGUUCUCAGAGAAUUCCGAAACAAGAAGGGGUCCAUACUCGUAGCAACAGACGUUGCUGCUCGUGGUCUAGAGGCACAUGGUGCACAGAUUGUUUUGAGUGUACAUUGAACGAAAAAAAAAGCAAAGAAACAAAACUGACUGUAACUCACUCACUGUCUGUGCUCUAGAGCUAUAUAUGCAACUAAAUAUAUAGAUGACGUACUUGCACAAUGUCGAUUGUGUAAUAAUUGUACGUAAUGUGCCUCUGUGUACUUACUGCCUGUGUACCACACGCGAGUAUUGAGAGUGGUGGUGCGCGGGCGAAAUCGUGCUGGCUGGCUACGUAUCAAUUGGGUUUUACCUACCUGCGGUAGAACCAACAGAGAUAAGCUCUCUGGAGUAGCCAACGUUCAGCCAACGCGAGACAACAAACUAUUGAUUUUGCUACUAUCGCUACUCUGUGGAAAUAUGUAGGACAAGAAAUUUGUGAUUUGAACACUUGCAUUCAAGAGUAAUACCAGAGCGACGCCGAAUGCGCAGGGAUGCCGAAUGCAAUGUUCAACAUUUUACGGCAUGACUGUCGUUGAUGAUUUUCAAGUAUCUGUCCAUCGUUAAGGCCCGAAGUAUUAUGAGUAUCCUGCUCACUCACAUGGACAUGGCAAAAGUAAAAAGUAAUAAACAAAUCAUACGUGUUAAAAAAAAUUCCCAAAAUGUAUCAGGCGUCGAGAUGUCAUGUCUAUGCAGUGUGAAUGAUAUGUGUGAAUUACAGCUGAAUGUAAAUUUUUCUAUAAAUUCCGUACGUGGUUUAUUACUUCGCGUUAGCUUAAGAUGUAAUUAUCUUGUGUAAUAUUUUUUUUUUCAUACUCCUGAGUCGUAUUUUACAAUUAUUUUUAAAUAGAUUUUUUUUCGUUUGCAAACAUAAAAUUUUUGAUUGCAUAUUUAUAGCUAUCACUUGACGUUACUUUGACAGAAAGAAAAAGUAAUUAAAAUUGAAAGCUUAUAUGUUGCAUCUUCAUUCGGCACCUGAUGAUAACAUGAUGGCUUUUGUCAUGUCUGUUGUCGAGUAUGUAUUAUGUCUGCUGCUUAAUAAACAACACUCUCAACCUG